rnacentral:rRNA from 1 species
GAUGAACGCUGGCGGCGUGCCUAAUACAUGCAAGUCGAGCGAACAGACGAGGAGCUUGCUCCUCUGACGUUAGCGGCGGACGGGUGAGUAACACGUGGAUAACCUACCUAUAAGACUGGGAUAACUUCGGGAAACCGGAGCUAAUACCGGAUAAUAUAUUGAACCGCAUGGUUCAAUAGUGAAAGACGGUUUUGCUGUCACUUAUAGAUGGAUCCGCGCCGCAUUAGCUAGUUGGUAAGGUAACGGCUUACCAAGGCAACGAUGCGUAGCCGACCUGAGAGGGGGAUCGGCCACACUGGAACUGAGACACGGUCCAGACUCCUACGGGAGGCAGCAGUAGGGAAUCUUCCGCAAUGGGCGAAAGCCUGACGGAGCAACGCCGCGUGAGUGAUGAAGGUCUUCGGAUCGUAAAACUCUGUUAUUAGGGAAGAACAAAUGUGUAAGUAACUAUGCACGUCUUGACGGUACCUAAUCAGAAAGCCACGGCUAACUACGU